rnacentral:lncRNA from 1 species
UUGGUAGAAAAAUAUAACAAUGCCUUUCUUUAUUCAAUUGAAGAAUGAGAGUAGGUGUGCAGGGAAGACACGUUUCAAGCAUUGGAUAUUUUUUUUUUCUUUUUAUUGGGCAAAAGGAGGGCCUGUUUUUGUUUGAUGGGCUGCACCGUAAAGCCAUUGAGUAAGAAGAAGAGAUUAGGUAGUAGGAAAUGUUGUCACAUCCAGCGGGAAGAGCACAUCUUGACCUCACGGGUUCAAUUUCACUUGGGAGGCACGGGUCAUUUAA